UACAGAGGUCUCAAGCGUUUGUUCGGAUUCAUUGGGCGUAAAGGGUGCGUAGGUGGCGGGGCAAGUUUGGUGUGAAAUCCUAGGGCUCAACCCUGGAACUGCACUGAAUACUGCUUUGCUAGAGUACUGGAGAGGGAACUGGAAUUUACGGUGUAGCAGUGAAAUGCGUAGAUAUCGUAAGGAAGACCAGUGGCGAAGGCGAGUUCCUGGACAGUUACUGA
rnacentral:rRNA from 1 species